rnacentral:rRNA from 1 species
CGGCGUAAAGCGUAUUUAGGACACAAUAUAAAUAGGGCCGAAUAACCCCAAGAUAGUUAAAUAUGUUCGGGGCCAUUAAGCACACCAACGAAAGUAGCCCUAAUAGAUCUGACCCUACGAAAGCUAGAAUAUAAACUGGGAUUAGAUACCCCACUAUAUCUAGCUGUUAAAAUUGAUGGAACCUUACUCGAACCAUCCGCCUGGGAAUUACGAGCCCAAGCUUAAAACCCAAAGGACCUGGCGGUGCUUUAAAACCCCCUAGAGGAGCCUGUUCUAUAACUGAUAACCCCCGGUAAACCUCACCACCUCUUGCCAUAAUCCGUUUAUAUACCACCGUCGCAAGCUUACCCCAUUGAGGGCGCUAAAAGUAGGCUCAACCAGUAUAACUGAGUACGUCAGGUCGAGGUGUAGCAUAUGAGGUGGGAAGAAAUGGGCUACAUUCCCUAAUGAAGAGAUUACGAAUGGUGGUUUGAAAAAACUGCACUGAAGGUGGAUUUAGAAGUAAGCAAGGAACAGAGUGCCCUGCUGAAAAUGGCUCUAAAGCACGUACAAACCGCCCGUCACUCUCUCCACUUUCCCUCACUUAAUACCUAAUACGUGA